rfam:Hordeum vulgare subsp. vulgare, WGS project CAJW01000000 data, contig: morex_contig_59927
AAUAUACUCCCUCCAUCCGCAAUUACUUGUCGCAAAAAUGGAUGUAUCAAGAUGUAUUUUAGUUCUAGAUACAUCCAUUUUUGUGACAAGUAAUUCCGGACGGAGGGAAUAGUAU